GUUUGCAAAGAGGUAACUUCUGAUUGUACUGGGUUUCAGGCCAUGGAAUUGGAUGAUCAAGCUAAUACCUCUGAAGUGAUUUGCCAGGAAAAUGAUGAUAAUAAUAAGUCCGGUGCACUAAAUCUUGUAGUGGAUUUGAACCCAUACGUGAGCAUUGAUGGGAAUGAUUUAGGUAAUGUAAAUGUGAAAGUAUCUGCCUCCAAGCUGGAAUUCAGUGUUUCUGACCUUGUAUGGGGCAAAGUGAGAAGCCAUCCCUGGUGGCCUGGGCAGAUAUUUGAUCCUUCUGAUUCCUCAGAGAAGGCAAAGAAGUAUUUUAAAAGGGAUAGCUAUUUAAUUG
rnacentral:misc_RNA from 1 species